GACCUCAGAUCAGGCAAGGCUACCCGCUGUAUUUAAGCAUAUUAAUAAGCGGAGGAAAAGAAACUAAC
rnacentral:rRNA from 1 species